rnacentral:rRNA from 1 species
GACGUAGGGUCCAAGCGUUGUCCGGAUUUACUGGGCGUAAAGGGCGCGUAGGCGGCCACCGCAAGUCGACUGUGAAAUCUCCGGGCUUAACCCGGAAAGGUCAGCCGAUACUGCGGGGCUAGAGUGCAGAAGGGGCAACUGGAAUUCUCGGUGUAGCGGUGAAAUGCGUAGAUAUCGAGAGGAACACCUGCGGCGAAGGCGGGUUGCUGGGCUGACACUGACGCUGAGGCGCGAAAGCUAGGGGAGCGAACGGG